rnacentral:rRNA from 1 species
GACGAACGCUGGCGGCGCGCUUAACACAUGCAAGUCGAACGGAAAGGCCUGCUUUCCCUUGUGGAUUGCGGGUACUCGAGUGGCGAACGGGUGAGUAACACGUGAGUGAUCUGCCCCCAACUUGGGUAUAAGCCUGGGAAACUGGGUCUAAUUCCCGAUAGGACUGCAGGGUGGUGCCUGUGGUGGAAAACGAUUUUCUAGUGGUUGGGGAUGAGCUCGCGGCCUAUCAGCUUGUUGGUGGGGUAAUGGCCUACCAAGGCGGCGACGGGUAGCCGGCCUGAGAGGGUGGACGGCCACAUUGGGACUGAGAUACGGCCCAGACUCCUACGGGAGGCAGCAGUGGGGAAUAUUGCACAAUGGGCGGAAGCCUGAUACAGCGACGCCGCGUGGGGGAUGACGGCCCUCGGGUUGUAAACUCCUUUCGACCGCGAGGAAGCCACCUGGUUGGAAGGGUGGUGACGGUAGUGGUAGAAGAAGCACCGGCUAACUACGUG